rnacentral:rRNA from 1 species
GUGGGGAAUAUUGGGCAAUGGGCGAAAGCCUGACCCAGCAACGCCGCGUGAAGGAAGAAGGUCUUCGGAUCGUAAACUUCUAUCCUUGGUGAAGAUAAUGACGGUAGCCGAGAAGGAAGCCCCGGCUAACUACGUGCCAGCAGCCGCGGUAAUACGUAGGGGGCAAGCGUUGUCCGGAAUGAUUGGGCGUAAAGGGCGCGUAGGCGGCCUGGUAAGUCUGGAGUGAAAGUCCUGCUUUUAAGGUGGGAAUUGCUUUGGAUACUGUCGGGCGUGAGUGCAGGAGAGGUAAGUGGAAUUCCCGGUGUAGCGGUGAAAUGCGUAGAGAUCGGGAGGAACACCAGUGGCGAAGGCGACUUACUGGACUGUAACUGACGCUGAGGCGCGAAAGUGUGGGGAGCAAACAGGAUUAGAAACCCGGGUAGUCC